rnacentral:lncRNA from 1 species
AGGGGAUCCCUGGGUGGCGCAGCGGUUUGGCGCCUGCCUUUGGCCCAGGGCGCGAUCCUGGAGACCCGGGAUCGAAUCCCACAUCGGGCUCCCGGUGCAUGGAGCCUGCUUCUCCCUCUGCCUGUGUCUCUGCCUCUCUCUCUCUCUCUCUCUGUAUGUGACUAUCAUAAAUAAAUAAAAAUUAAAAAAAAAAAAAGAUAUAAAGUAUAAUGGAAAAUGGUGCUUUCUUCUCCUGGGAUUGUUUACAGUGUGUGUGUGUGUGUGUGUGUGUGUGUGUGUGUACACAACAGGGCAUCCUUUGAGAUUGGAGCAUAAAUCCUAUUAAACUCAACUAUGGUCUCCCCAUCCCUAAAAUAGAUUUGACAUACAGAUACAAGCACAAGGUCAAGGUCACAGAUCAGUAAGAAAGAUUACCAACAGAACUGAUGUAACAGCUGGCAUUUGAUCAAAGCUCCUGGGGUUUUUAGUACACUUACCAGAUACUCUGCAUUUACUCACAGGGUACACUCUGUUUUAAAAAUGUUCCCCAUCUUUGAAGAUAAGAUCUUCAUGCACUUUUUGUUAUGAAGCAUAUUCUUCUAAAAAUGUUGCAUUGAUCACAGAACGUGAGAAACUUGUGUAUGUGUAUUUCAGAAUUACAAGUUUUUAUGUGUGUAUAUGUAUGUGUAUGCUUGCAUGUUAAUUUUUUGCUAUUACUGAUCUUUGCCAUGACAACCUGAAAUUAAUUUAAAUUGCAGGUCUCUGAAUCAUUCUAUGCUCCCCCACACCUCUGUAUCAGCUGAAGUGGAAAUUAACUGUAUAUUCCUUGGUAUCUUGGGACACUUCUUCCCAAAUAUACAGAUUUAACUGCUAGAAAUUGGUUCAACCAGGAAAAUUUUAGAAUGUAUCCACUCUUCCAUGAUAACUUCCAAAUUAUAAGAAGAAAGUUUUGUUACUGACAACAGCAAUAAAAGUGAUUCUUAAUGGAAUAUAUUAUUGAACAGUGCAAUUAUCUAACAAAACCAUGCCUUUUGUUUUAGCUGUUCAAACAAGAUAUUGAAUUGAUCUUAAAUUACAUUUAUGAACCAAAAGUUAUGGGAUGAAUGUUCUUACUAAAAGUGUUCUGAUUAAAAAAAUUACCAUUUUUAAGGAUACAUAAUGCUGUUGGGGUAAAUUACAAUAUAGUUUAGCUUUCCUUGUUAAAUCAAGUAUCACCUACUAUAGCUUUAUAUAAUUCGCAAAUUAGGAUAUAUGCACAUGUAAAUGUUCUCAAUGAUCAAAUUUUCAUUUUGCGAAAUUAUUUUUGGUAAUUAAAUAGGUUUAAAUAAAAAUACCAGAAUUGUACUAUCCUAGAAACACUGGGGUUUCUCCAAAAAGAAAAAAAAAUAUGUAUCAAAUUAAAUACCACAAAAAAAUGGAACUUCCUUUACCAGGCAGAAAAAGACUAGGUAUUGUAAAAUUACUAGUAAUGGAUACUAAUUUGUAUAUAAAAAUUUGAUCACAGAAAUCCAUCAACAUUUAUUUUCUUUUAAAACAAAUAGAGUUCCUUACAUACUAUUAAAGUCUAUUUAGAGGAAUCAUUUAUCAAUUAAUCAG